CACGUAGGGCGCAAGCGUUGUCCGGAAUUAUUGGGCGUAAAGAGCUCGUAGGCGGUCUGUUGCGUCCGCUGUGAAAACUCGGGGCUUAACCCCGAGCUUGCAGUGGAUACGGGCAGACUAGAGGUAGGUAGGGGAGAAUGGAAAUUCCCGGUGUAGCGGUGAAAUGCGCAGAUAUCAGGAGGAACACCAGCGGCGAAGGCGGCGAUCUGGGCCAGUACUGACGCUGGAGGAGCGAAAGCGUGGGGAGCGAACAGG
rnacentral:rRNA from 1 species